CUCUUUCCUCUUUAAUUCUUACCAGCACCUCAACUCUCCGGCGCUCCUGGUUGGUGUAAUUCUUCUCCCGCAGGAUGGCUGAGCUGUAACUCUCAUG